CUGAGGCUACAAGGACAACAAAAUGCUCGACCAUUUCUAAAUCUAACAUUCUACAAAUCGAGUGCUUUUACUGGAUGAAAGUAACACUUGAAUACAAGUAACUUACAUUGAAAUGAAUUAUACUGCAAAGCAGCAUUCACUUCACAGAACAUCAAGUGCUGCUCAAACUGUAAAUAUCUGCCUCACCAUCUAGAAGUGUCUACGACAUAUAGGGCGAGUACGAACACUCUCUGCUAUCUUGCAAAUUUCGAAUCAAAUUACAUAAGUUAUCUUUAAUUAGCAUUAGCU
rnacentral:lncRNA from 1 species